rnacentral:rRNA from 1 species
AUCGAUGAAGAACGCAGCAAAAUGCGAUAAGUAAUGUGAAUUGCAGAAUUCAGUGAAUCAUCGAAUCUUUGAACGCACAUUGCGCCCGCCAGUAUUCUGGCGGGCAUGCCUGUUCGAGCGUCAUUUCAACCCUCAAGCCCAGCUUGGUGUUGGGAUCUGUGUGCAAACACAGUCCCCAAAUUGAUUGGCGGUCACGUCGAGCUUCCAUAGCGUAGUAAUUUACACAUCGUUACUGGUAAUCGUCGCGGCCACGCCGUUAAACCCCAACUUCUGAAUGUUGACCUCGGAUCAGGUAGGAAUACCCGCUGAACUUAAGCAUAUCAAUAAGCGGAGGAAAAGAAACCAACAGGGAUUGCCCUAGUAACGGCGAGUGAAGCGGCAACAGCUCAAAUUUGAAAUCUGGCUCUCGGGCCCGAGUUGUAAUUUGUAGAGGAUGACUUUGAUGCGGUGCCUUCCGAGUUCCCUGGAACGGGACGCCAUAGAGGGUGAGAGCCCCGUCUGGUUGGAUGCCAAAUCUCUGUAAGUCUCCUUCGACGAGUCGAGUAGUUUGGGAAUGCUGCUCUAAAUGGGAGGUAUAUGUCUUCUAAAGCUAAAUACCGGCCAGAGACCGAUAGCGCACAAGUAGAGUGAUCGAAAGAUGAAAAGCACUUUGAAAAGAGAGUUAAAAAGUACGUGAAAUUGUUGAAAGGGAAGCGUUUAUGACCAGACUUGGGCUUGGUUAAUCAUCUGGGGUUCUCCCCAGUGCACUUUUCCAGUUCAGGCCAGCAUCAGUUUUCGCCGGGGGAUAAAGACUUCGGGAAUGUGGCUCCUCUCGGGGAGUGUUAUAGCCCGUUGUGUAAUACCCUGGUGGGGACUGAGGUUCGCGCUUCUGCAAGGAUGCUGGCGUAAUGGUCAUCAACGACCCGUCUUGAAACACGG